UAGUCCAUGGUAUGUUCAAAGCUCUCCUCCAACACCAUUUUGGUUCGGGUCUUUCUCCAGGAACUGCAAAUGAGGGAAAUGAAAUUUUAUGACACCAUAGAAUCUAUAGAGGGAAUUAACCCUGCCAAAUUUCAGGGAAGUCUUUGAAAACAGCUUUCCUCUCCAAGCCAAGAGGGUUGGCUGCUGACAGUUUGUGAAGAGGAAGUUAUUUCUCUGUCAAGGUUACACUCAUUUGCAGCAGCCUCUGAUGUUACCAUGGGAGCUCAUAUAAUAAACUCUUUAUGGCAGAUUAUGUUUUAUGGCCAUGAACUCAUUUAAUAUGUUCUGCCUUCAGUAAAAUGUGUAGUAUGUAUGAAUUAUAAUGGCUUGUACAUAAAUAGCAAAUCUGCCUUCAAAGAUCUUGGAACUUUGCAUAUGUGAUUUAAUUAAAUGCUUCACUAUAUUCCCAUGAGCCAGACAAGGAUCUGGACAUAUAACUGUUCCCAGGGCUGUGUGAUAUGAUUGUGGCACAUUCUUCUUUCUAAAAGGGAAUUAUUUGGUACUCAGAGCAGAAUGGGCCAAACCCUUGUAUGGUUCACAUGUGAAAUACACCAGUCCUUAGAUGCUUACCUUAGCACUAUGUCAGCAGAGUAGUUCAAUGGCAUAACCUUGUUGUUAUGAACAUUUUAAUAUAUCUUAAUGGCAGCUUCUCCAGUGCAUUACCUCAUUCUGAAAUGUUAGUGCAUCUUUAUAUCUAAGAAGGGAGUUCAGUUCCUAUUAUUCAUGAACUGCCAAGAACCUUCCCUGGAGCACCACAGUUAUGGAUUGGAGUCAGAAGAUGUACAGUAAAAUGUGCUGCUCAUUAAGCCAUCACUGGUCUUAAGAGACCACAUCAAAAUGUCUGUGAAAUGUACAGCAGCCCUGCUUGUUAGUUCUCUUACAUUAACCAAUUGCCCUUUCUAGUCCUCUGGGUGGUUGCAGAAGACACAUUUCAUAAUAAUUCUGCAGGAAAAAAUAAGCAAUUGAA